UCGGUCUACUUCCGGGUUGUGGAGGCUUGUUUAGUUCCAAGCACCGCUUCAACAGUGAUAGCCACCGUUCAUUUGCACUGCAGGUUGUUGAGUAUAUGUGGAGUAUCCCGAGAGCCCUCACUGAAGACACGAAGACCCUCAUUGUUUCUCCCAUUGUCAAUAAAACAUACUAUUUCAUUCAUCAAAGCAUAA